AUUGAACGCUGGCGGCAGGCCUAACACAUGCAAGUCGAGCGGAUGAAGGGAGCUUGCUCCUGGAUUCAGCGGCGGACGGGUGAGUAAUGCCUAGGAAUCUGCCUGGUAGUGGAGGAUAACGUCCGGAAACGGGCGCUAAUACCGCAUACGUCCUGAGGGAGAAAGUGGGGGAUCUUCGGACCUCACGCUAUCAGAUGAGCCUAGGUCGGAUUAGCUAGUUGGUGGGGUAAAGGCCUACCAAGGCGACGAUCCGUAACUGGUCUGAGAGGAUGAUCAGUCACACUGGAACUGAGACACGGUCCAGACUCCUACGGGAGGCAGCAGUGGGGAAUAUUGGACAAUGGGCGAAAGCCUGAUCCAGCCAUGCCGCGUGUGUGAAGAAGGUCUUCGGAUUGUAAAGCACUUUAAGUCGGGAGGAAGGGCAGUAAGUUAAUACCUUGCUGUUUUGACGUUACCAACAGAAUAAGCACCGGCUAACUUCGUG
rnacentral:rRNA from 1 species